GUGUUGUAUGAAAACAGCAUUUCCCUUAGGAUGGAAGGGGUCCUAGUGGCCUUACAACACACACAUGGUUGGCAUCUAACCAUGUAAAGCUGCACAAUACUAAGGUUCCAAGCACAGAAUUGU